GACAAAAGAGGUGUCCAGUGCUUAUACUGUGGUUGCUUCACUCUCCACUACACUGGUGCUAGGUUUGCUUUCCUUCGGUGUCAUUGUCAACCUUCAAGAAAAGAAAGCUGACGAGAAACCAGAUUGAAAAUCUUGGAUCCGGAAAAAUGGAAAUGUGGAUAUACAGGAGUUAGCCUUGAUUGAUUCCAAAAAGGAGACGAUUCUCAUGUUGUCUGCGAAGGCGUACAGGAGUAGUGAGGACAACUCCAUGGCCCUUCACGACUUCAAACUGGUCUUAAAACGAUGUGGGACUUCCUUGGCCGAGGAUGUAAACACGCCAGCACGGCGCAAUGACCCAGGAGCCUCUUACCAAUGCGAUCCAGCUUAUGCUGGGGUUCCUGUCCGGUCGUACAUGGAAAGGUCUUGCAGCAACCUAAUAAGUGAAAUAUUCGUGAGUACGGCGUAAAACACCAAACGAGUGAAUCAACAAGUCCUAGAAAGAUGAGCUAUAAGCAGGUUAUAAGGCUGGUGUAGCACCCACUUCGAUUCAGAGCAAAUGAUUUUCUAUCGUUUUUCCAGAACAAAAUAUUCGAUCUCCAGCCACUGAAGGAAGGUAAGGCUCAGCUUUGCAAUAUGACGUCAUCGGAAUUGGGACCCAUACUGAGCCAGUUUUGUGACAGAGCCCCGGCUCAUUGGUUCAAUGUCACAAAGAAAGUUGCGUCAUUUCAAACUAAUUUGGUUGUGUACUUAGUUUUUAACAAAGUUGACACCAUAUUUAACAUUCUUUACAUGCUGUUUUCAGAGUUUGUCUAAAUAUUUACAACACAUAAUGAACAUUUUAUUUACUUAAUUUUUUGUUAAGUACGGCGUAAAACACCAAUCAAAUCAAUUAAUUUUAGUUGGUUAAGAUGACUGUGGAAUUACGAAUUGCCUAAUUAUGAAUUAGCGAAUACUUCAGUUGACAGUUCAGUAUAAUCGUCAUAGUCUUCUCUAAUGGAUUGAUGAGACAACUUCAUUACGUGGUUACGUAAUGCAGGCGUAUGUAUAUUGUAAUAUUUUGUUUCUCUGUCACCUUUAUCUACAAUUUUGCUCCUUUAAAUCUUAUUAUUAGAAUUCAGACACCCCUGGAACAAACCACGAGUGGUUUUAUUCUCCCCUUCCAUGCAAACUGCCACGUUUCAUGAGCAUGUUGUAAUCUUUUGGUGAAAUCAAAAAGGUCAGCUAAAUCAGUCUAGAUGAAACUCCGAAUGGAAGUGGUUAGAGUCACGACCAUGGGCCGUCAACGUUUGUACAGAAUCACGAUCCAGUAUUUAUUUCAUUCGGCAAUAACUCUAUGUGGUGUUUUCAGUAACUGUUCAUGCUCUCAAAAAUUAUCAGUCAGAUUGUCUGAGCGAUGCUACUUGUUGAAUUAUUAUAAUGAUAUUGCAGCAGGAUAUUCUUUUAAAUAAAACACAAAUGCUUUACGACAGCGGUCAGCAUUAUGGUGGGUCAAUACGCUGCGCUAGUGAGCUAACCAACUGAGCCACGGAGGCCCCGUCAAAAUAAACAUGAAUGAACAUGAAUGAAAGCUGACAGGACAUAACGCUGAAUGUGAAUGAAUGAAUGAAUGAAAGAUUAUGGCUUAACACCACAUCGGCAAUAUUUCAACCAUAUCGUGGCGAACGCUGAAUGUGAUACAGUAUUAUGUUAUGAUAGUUUCAAUCAGAGUUUCUGUUCAAAUAAACACAUUUUUUUUUGGAGUGUAGAGUAUUCUUUGCCCAGUGAGAAACCGAGCAAAGAUCCUUCCUGAUUUGACAACUCUACACACACAAUUUUAAUUAAUCGUUUUAAAUGAAUAAAUUGCUCCUAUCAAUGAUGCUUGCAUACAAACACUGCGAGAUAGUAAAUGUUUUAUGUUAAUACUAUCAUAUAGCGUAAAUAACUUGAUGUUCAGACAUGGUUAAGGUUUCGGGUAGGUAGAGACUACUCACGGUUUGUCCCUGUCGAGAACGGGGUCCCCCUGGAUCGUGUACUAUCUCCCACCUUAUUUAAUAUGCCAAUUAAUGAUAUGCCGAAGGCUAUUUCUCCUCAGCUAAAAUGCUCGUUAUUUGCAGAUGAUAGGGGCAUGUGGUUUCAUCCCCGGAGUCAUAAAUUAUGUACUCCAUAUAUACAACAAGGGUUAGAUGACAUUGUGAAAUGGAAUUUGUCUUGGGGGUAUAAAUUUUCCUCAGCUAAAACUGAAGCCGUUAUUUUCACUCGUAGAGCUGUUAAUGCCGUAGUUAUAACACUCAAUAACUCCCCUGUCAAAUUAUCUAAGCCCUUCGUUACCUCGGUGUUAUCUUUGAUAAGCGUCUAACUUGGGCAAACCAUAUUGAGUAUGUCAUCUCUAAAUGCCAGAAAGUUUUGAACCUGAUGAGGACUAUUUCUGAGAAAUCUCGGUGAGGCGGAUAGGGAUUGUCUGCUUCUGUUAUAUCGUUCUCUGAUCCGUUCUACGUUUGAAGAUUGUGCAAUACCCUUAAGGAGAAGUUCGAUUCCAUCCAGUCCACUACGGGUGUGUAC